rnacentral:rRNA from 1 species
CGUAGGGGAGAGUGGAAUUCAUGGUGUAGCGGUGGAAUGCGCAGAUAUCAGGAGGAACACAGAUGGCGAAGGCAGAUCUCUGGGCCGUAACAGACGCUGAGGAGAGAAAGGGUGGGGAGCAAACAGGCUUAGAUACCCUGGUAGUCCACCCAGUAAACGUUGGGAACUAGUUGUGGGGUCCAUUCCACGGAUUCCGUGACGCAGCUAACGCAUUAAGUUCCCCGCCUGGGGAGUACGGCCGCAAGGCUAAAACUCAAAGGAAUUGACGGGGACCCGCACAAGCGGCGGAGCAUGCGGAUUAAUUUGAUGCAACGCGAAGAACCUUACCAAGGCUUGACAUAUACGAGAACGUUGCAGAAAAGUAGAACUCUUUGGACACUAGUAAACAGCUGGUGCAUGGUGGUCGUCAGCUCGUGUCGUGAGAUGUUGGGUUAAGUCCCGCAACGAGCGCAACCCUCGUUCUAUGUUGCCAGCACGUAAUGGUGGGAACUCAUGGGAUACUGCCGGGGUCAACUCGGAGGAAGGUGGGGAGGACGUCAAAUCAUCAUGCCCCCUAUGUCUUGGGCUUCACGCAUGCUACAAUGGCCGGUACAAAGGGCUGCAAUACCGCAAGGUGGAGCGAAUCCCAAAAAGCCGGUCCCAGUUUGGAUUGAGGUCUGCAACUCGACCUCAUGAAGUCGGAGUCGCUAGUAAUCGCAGAUCAGCAACGGUGCGGUGAAUACGUUCCCGGGUCUGUACACACCGCCCGUCAAGUCAUGAAAGUCGGGUUAUACGUGGCCCGUGCCCCAUAUAAGUCGUACCAAGUAACCUAUAGAGUGCAGGCGC